GGAGCCAACCGCGAGGACCUGGUGUGACAGGAUUGCUUCGCUGACGAGGACAUCUCUUUCUAAAGUUGCAAAAUUUGGAGACCCCUUCCACGUCCCGUCCGUCCCCGGUUCUCGGGCCGCUGUCCCGCUGACCCCCCUAGGCCUAACUUCGGGGGGCCGAAGCCUCCCCCCACCUGCCCGGCACCCCUCUGUUCCCCGGGCAUGGCUGACCCAUGCUGACCCUUCGCUAAACAGAUUUUUGUUAUUACUACUACUACUACUAGGAUUUUCUGGGUCCGUCCCCCAUUUGGAACAGAAGCCAAAGGCACAGAAAAAGUAUUGAGGAGUCUUUCCCCUAGUGAGAGUCUGUUCACAUCCCUUUGCUGAGGCCUGUGUGAACACAAAUUUCAGCAGCAUCCAUAAUAACGUAGAAAAAAAAUCUACAUGGCUGAAGAUUACUUUGGCUGAUGUUACCGAAGGCUACCCAUAGACCUGCUUCCACCUCUGCUUUAAUCUGGUCUGAUAACUGAGCGGGACUGUUUCUAAGAAAUUGUUUCCAUAUCUACAAGGAAAAGCUUUCAGAACAUAUUUUCUUGCAUAUAACCAAUGUGUACUAGCUAGAGUAAAAAUGUGUAUCCAUAUGAUUUAUUUAUUGUGGUUCAGCCCCCAUUUCCCCGUGAUUCGUUGCAUACGCACUGUUGUGUAUUCAUUCAUACUGCGUGCUGGGAAGGUGUUCUCCCGAGCAAUGCUCCAUGGUCGUUGUCUUACGGAACAAAUACAGGAACCUACCGGGAUUCUGCAGUUUGGGGUGAAACCAAGCUAUUUUCAGGACUCCUCCGGUGUUAAGUCACCGCCAUUUCAAAUGGCUGCCAAGCUGUAUGGAGGAGAUUGACAGUGGAGUGUCCUGAGAAGGGAUUAGAAAGAGGCACGAUGGUGGUGCACCGAUACGGGCAGAAAAGGAGGAGGUGGAGACUGAGCCAUUCCCGUGCCUGGUUGGGAUGAAGAGUAAUUAUGCUGGGUCUUCAGGAUGGUAAAGUUUGCAAAGCAUCUGUGUACAGACUGCAGUCUGAAUAUUCGGCAACAAAAAACCAGUACAGCAGCACCGCUGCAUGUGGACUUGUGUAACCAUUACUGCCUCGGUGCUUGCCAGCAAUCCAGUUGGCUCGCUGCUCACUGGAUUGGUGCUGGUCUACCAGAGUGUGCUGGAAAUACAUAUUACAGUGUGUUUCACUGUGCUGGUACUGAGAAAAUACUUCCAGAUUUGGAAAGGUCAUGAUCCUGAGUUGUGCUGGAAGCAGUGGCUGGACGUGUGUGCCUAUAUUGCAGACUGAAAGUCAGGUUUCAUAAAUAGUAAAAAAAAAAAGAUAUUUUUUCAAGCUUCUGCAAAGCCUCAUUGAUUACUAUGGAAAGUUCACAGAUAUUAAUGCAGAAUGAUAUACAAUAGUUGAUGACAGGUUUUUUAGAAAUUCAGCCUUAUUUACUGCAACAAAAAUAUGAAUUGCUACCCAGAUUGCAAUGGAUGUUAAUGAUUUGUCCAUUCCUUUUGUCACUCUGGGAGAUCCAGACGUCUUUCUGCUUCUCUGGCUAAUGAUGCCUUUUACUGGGCAAAUGUGUUGGAGAAAGGAACUGUACGACUGUUCUGAGUAACUGUAGAAUAACAAUGAAGGGCUUUGUUGGGAAAUUGAAGGGCAGGUGGAGGAGCCUUACACUCUGAUCAAUAUUUGCUGCAAGUGGCAGAUGUUCACCAUGUCUUGUUCGAAAUCUGUGGGGGAAGGAGGAGGUGUCUGUCCAUGCUGCUCAGGGAAACAGGAUGAGGGACUUGUCCUGCUUUUUCUUAAAUGAGAGAAUACAGUGGUGAAAAAUGAAUGUAUUAUAGCCAAAGAGAUGAAGGAGAUGCAUCUUUGUUAUUGUUUUUGUGUUAUUAGGGGAAAAUGAGGGGAAAAUUAGGGGAUGCUUCAGCCAAUUUUUUCACGAUAAUCUUCACUUACUCAGCAUAACUCUGGCACAGUGCACCUUAUCUGCUAAGUGCACCUAUCUUUGCAAAUGAAAGCAGAAAUCACUCCUGUUUUCUGGAAAGGGUGCAGUGGGGACCUCCGGGAAGCUACCACUACCCUUGUUAACAUCAGGGUGCACUUGAGGUAGCGGUAUAAUGUCCAAAUAUUCUUCAGAGGUCUGUUUCCUUCUGCACAAUUUACGGCAAAUCUUCCUGUAUGUUGUUUUCCCUGUCCCAAACUCCUCUGAAUCUAGACACUCGUGUGAAAGUUAACACAAGUUGUCACAAGCAUCCUUCCAGCUCUUUUUUUGCGCUCUGGGUCCUGUGCUGAAAUCGAUUCACAGAAUCCUUGGACUUCUCCUUCCUAUCCUCUUUUUCUUUUUUGAAACAUUUUUUAUGCAUCAAGCAGCUUGCAAGGCUCACGUUCCUCAUCAUAAUGGUGCCUCAGCUGCCAGAGACAAAUUGCAAAUAUUUGUCAUUUCUACACUGAACUCAGCACCAAUGAUAAUAGGUUUCAUUUUUUUUCUCAAUUUUGGAAUGUCAUUCCCAUCUGUUUUUCUAGCCUGGGCUUCCCUAGGAAAUGGAUGUUCCCAAGGAACCCAGUAGUGUGUAAUAUAAUAAGAUGCCUCCCACUCUACAUCUCCUUUCCAUAGAAAUCCUGUGGUGGUGUUGGAAUGGGAAGGAGGGAAGAAGAUGCUGGGCUAAUGAGAGGUGAAUAGUAACAGGAUUCAAGUUAGCAGUUUUAUGUGCACCUCUGUAGCAAUGUUACCUUGAAGUGUGUUUCCAAGAGGCAAGAAAAAGUCUUACUGAAAAAGGCAAUGGAUAAAUCAGAAAGAUAUGUAGCAUUCCAUAGAAGGGUACUGAAAUAUAUUCAACUGCAGAAGUGAGAGAGAGACAUCAUGCAGAUCAGCAACCGAGAAGGCUGCACUGCUUUGCUCUGUGCAUAGUAAAAUGGAGCGCAGUCUUUGCCUUAAGAUCUCUUAGAACACACACAGGUCAGCAUCAUGUGCACUGGAAGGGAACAGACUUUAGAAAAAUUGGCCUGCAUCCAAGAAUUUUAUAUUGCUAAAGAUUUGAUUAUAAGUGUCUUAUAAUCUCAGCAUUUUGAAAUGUUUAAUUUUGGUAAUUCCUCUCAUAAAAUGUGAAAGGAGCUAAAGAGUGCUGAACAAACUGUGAGCCAAAGUAUAUUUGCUAUUGCUUUUUUUCUGUAUCUGCUGUUGCAAUAAAUAUGCCUGCCCUGCAAUCUGUAUUCCCUUUAACUCAUGCGGUGCUGCCACGUUAUUUGAGUAGCAGGAAGAGUAGCAGCGGGCCCAGAUGUGUAGUCAAGCAGCGCAAGGUGGGGACAGAAGAUUGAGUUCUUGUUUGUGGAGCACCACAAUGACCACACUAGGGAAGGUAGUGCCAAACGGAUGGAAAGAGGCUCAUGGUUCAUACAGCUCAUUUCCACCACUGGUGAUGGCAUCCAGAUACUACCUGGUUUAGAGGUGCAGAGCUACAAUAUAAUACAGGACAUGAUAGGAGUAUUUCCCUCUGCAGCAUUUUCAAGCUGACCAUCUAUCUGGAUUUCAAACAGCAUUUUUGUAACCUCAGUCUUUGCAUUUCAAUUUAGCGGUUUGGAAAAAAGUAUUAGCUCUACAACUCCCAAUUUGAAGUGACAUCAUUUGACAGCUGUGGUAAAUCACCUGGGUAUGUUACAAUACAUGCAUAAAUCUUUCACAGCUCACCCUAUUCUGAACAGUUAGAAGUCCUGGAAGUCCUGCUCACAUCCCUUGUGCUCCUGUAGACCCCCCAGCGUUAUUUUGCUUUAUAGCGGCACUGGUCCAUUUCUCUGGAAUGCAUUUAGUUUGGCCAACACUCACAAAUCCUAAUAUUUGAGGCAAUGUCAUAGAGUUGGGGCUGGACAUGCUACACAAACCCAGGAGACAGUAUCAGGAGAGGAAAAGAGGUGCUGCUCUAAAAAAAUGUGUGAAUCUCAGGGGGAACACACACUGGAAUUGCAAAGGAAGCCAUCAGCAUUCAGCGAGAGUGAUAACAUACCUAAUCCAGAUGAUCUUGUAACAGAAAAGGGCACUCAGGGGCCAGACAGCAGAUAAACCUUAUCACAUUAUACAAUGAGGGAAAAUCAUUCAAAAUGAACAGAAUCCUCUCAUGAGCUUGAUGCAGCUCAUAGCUGAAGGCCGUGGGCUGGUGAGCCUGGGUUUCAUUCAUGCAAAAAGAAAGCCCAGCCACUUUAAAACAAUCUUUGCGAAUGCACUCAAGCCGAUUCAUCUAAAAUAUUUGAAGUAAUAUUCCUGUGUAGACAGGACUUCAUUAUGUUACUUGUUAUUGUUUUCAGGGAGUCCUCACCUGCUCUUUAAAGCACAACAUACAUUAUGAGAGAGAAUGAUUGCUCAUUGUUGUUGUAUUCCUUAAUUGCCUUCUGUAUUACUGUACUCAAAGGAAUGUAUUUUUUCUCUUCUGCCCUUCUCUGCCUGCAUCCGACAGCACUCAGCAUUUUCCACAGAGCUCAGAAUUGCUCGCAUUCUUAUAAAAACGCCUCAGCCGUAUGGGAUUUGCUGAGAGGAAAUAAAAAGUACACGACUUGAGAAAACGCAA